AUCUCUGCAUAGCUCAGUCAGUUAGAACAUGGCGCUGAUAAUGCCAAGGUUGCAAGUUCAAUCCCCGUAAGGGACA